AAACGUUCAAAUAUAUACACAAUAUGUAAUACCAUGCUAUUUAACAACUUUGUCCAGAUAUUAUCACGUUAGGAAAGGUUUUGUUUUGGCUUUGUGUCGAACUGAGUGAGAAGAACGUGAUUUACAUUGAGUGAGAGUGUAUGUUAGCUUGAUGCUAGCUGAGGUAAAAAAAACAUUUACGAGUCACAAAGACUAUGUUUACUGAGUAGCUGACUUGUACUGGAUUUUGUCUAGGAGAUUUUUUUUAUCAAGAAUCCAUUUGUUAGGGAUUUCUGAGUUGGUUUUACAUGUUAUUGGUUGUUUUGUGUAAAAUUGUGCUCACUAGCUGGUAAAGUGGCCGAGCACGCUCAGUCUGGUGUACUUUUAGUGCAUACAGUGAGAGAGAGACGAUUUUCUGGAGGUGCCACUAUCUGAAAGCUGAAUGUAUUAUUGUCACUUUUCUAUAGAGGUAGCGGUAUAUAGAGAAACAUUCAGUUAUUUAUGGUUUCAGUUAUUUAUGGUUUCAUAUAUAGGUGUUUCUAUUGUAUGAAUGUGAAAUACAUUUCAUGUGAAACCGUACACUAAGACAGGGUUAUUUGUGGAACAUUUUUGAAUUCUGCUUUAGGUAAAGUGCAUUUAUGUUAUGUAAUGUAAAGUGUGCACUUGUUUGAUGUGAAUAUUUUCAAAGUACUAACAAGAAAAUAGACAAUUGAACAAGAGAAAAAAAAAAUACUUCAAAAUAAAGAAAGCAGCAGAACUUUGCAGACGUAAACAUGUGUCCGUUCUUUUUACUAUUGCAGGCCACCUCAGCUACACAUGUACUCUGUCUGCACACGCAUCCACGCAUGCACAUACACAUGGACAAACACACACUAAUGUUCUCUCUCUUGUGUUUGUCAGCAGUUCAUCGUGGCCCUGUAGUUCACCUCCUUCACCAAAGCUCUGUCAGGGACCUACAUGAAGAGUGUCAUCACUCAGAGAGACACUUUGACAUGUCCAGCUCUCUCAUCGGUCUCAUAGACGGCAGCUUUGAGAUGGGUUUCAACAAUAACAUUGAGUUGCUUGAGAAUUCAUGUAGUAAAAACCAGAUACAGACUACAGUAUGAUCCAUUUUUUUUGUGGUUCAAUCAGUCUGCUCUCAAUACUGUCCAGUUUUAUAGUUGUUCCUAUUAAUUGAUUGACUGGCGUUUGUCUAUGACUCUACUGUCAAACCCCUAACAUUGUUUUAUUUGAUGCUAUGUUGUUGCAGCCUAGUAUCCAAACUGAUAUGCCAUUCUUAGUUUAAAAAAUAACAGUGUUUAUAAUUUGCUAUUCCUGACUACUGCAGUGUUGUGGUUUCUUGCAGGUAACCUGCUGUUCCUGGCUGUGGUCAGCCAUUUUGGGGCGAAGCUGCACCGGCCCAGGUUCAUUGCUAUGGGCUGUUUCCUCAUGGCUGUAGGAUCCUUCCUCACAUGCCUGCCGCACUUCUUCAUGGGACGGGCUAUCAGGAGAGCUACCCAAUCGCAGAGGGCCAUCGUGGCUUCAUCAGUGAUGCCAGACUUCUGCAGAUGCAGAGAGCUGAGAGAGAGGCCAUGGAAGCAAAGCAAAGAAAGAUAAGUGCUAUCCAUGAGAAUUAUGUCCGGACUGCUCUCAUCGGGGUUGGCAGCACCUUCGCGCACCACUUCGUCCCCUCUAUUCAGUGCAUUCCGCGGCCGAAAGCUCCACCGAGGCCUUUGCCACGAAGGCGUGAGCACAUAGCUCUGGCCCCACUGAAGAACAUCGUGGGGGUGGACGGAGCCCAAGUUCGACCCGGAUCUCACUCUCUGGAGUCCAUCCAGGUAAAUAAGUCAUUCAGCAGCGGUAGCGUGUGGCCUGUUCCCGUCCCUCCCACUGCAGCUCCCUCCAAGAGGGGCAAGAAGAAGAAGGGCAGGCGGGGAGUCAAAGCCCUGAUAGUCCAGUCGGACCAGGGCUGUGCUGACAACAACGGACCCAUUGACCUGAUGGAGGAGGUGAGGGACAUCGGGGCUCACCUGAAGGAGGAGGACUGGAAGGGGGUACAUGAGGUGAAGGCCAUGGGCAGGAGAAGUUUGGGCUCGGCCAUGUCCACGGGGGAAAUAGCAACCAGCUCUCUGGGAAGCCUGAGCUCAGUGGAUAUGAACACCCCUGCGGAGCUCUGUGACUACUUGGAUGUCGGGACCCCGGUCAAGUCGCUUGACAGCCCACCCAGGCCUGCUCCCCCUCCUACCAAGCCCAGGAGCAAACAGCCUCGGCCUAUAAGGUUCCUUAGCCUGCCAAAGGCUGACACCGGCUCAGGGAGAAGAAGAUCGAGGGCUUGACCUUUAUCCGUGUGAUGGCUCAGAACCACAUGGACAUACUGAUGCCUAAACUCCAUGAUAUCUGCUUUGCCAUUAUAAAUGAGGUUAAGAACCUGCGCUCUGCAGUGUCCUGUGCUGCCAUGGCCACACUGGGUGACAUGUACGUCCACCUCCAGAGGGCCAUGGACAGUGAGGUGGAGGGGACGGCACGCGUGCUGCUGCACAAAACCAGCGAGGCCAACGCCUUCAUCCGG